CUCGGAUAUGCUAUCUGGGAAUGCCAAUUGUACCAGCAGUCACUGAGCUUCUUGUUGCUCAGUUUAUGUAUUUGGAUUAUGAUGACUCUUCAAAGCCUAUAUAUCUGUACAUAAACUCAUCUGGGACACAGAAUGAGAAGAUGGAAACUGUUGGUUCUGAAACAGAGGCAUAUGCCAUUGCUGAUGCCAUGGCUUAUUGCAAAUCAACUGUCUAUACCGUGAAUUGUGGCAUGGCAUAUGGUCAAGCAGCAAUGCUUCU
rnacentral:misc_RNA from 1 species